UUGUGUCCGGUCGGGUUCGUUCAAUUGACUUCGGUUGCGUUGCCUUGACUCGACUCCCGUUGACUUUGAGCACCCCCACUGACCCCGCCCCCUGGCCCCUCCCCGUGUGGCCCCGCCCCCAGACCCGCCCUGCGCGGCGCCGGAAGCGCCCGAGAGCCGGAAGCCGGUGACGGCGGCAGAGCGGCAGCGCGAGCGCGAGGAGAAGCGGCGGCGCCGGCAGGAGCGCGCCAAGGAGCGCGAGAAGAAGCAGCGCGAGCGCGAGCGGCGCGAGCCACGCCCCCGGGGGGAGGGGCUCAGCGGCCUCGUCCUCACCGACGACGACCGGCACCUCCUGGAGCGCUGGACCAAGAUGGCCGACGGCGCCCAGCCACGCCCACAGGCCCCACCCCCCUGCCCGGCACCGCCCAAUGAGGCGUGGCCGCGCCCUGCGGGGUGGGCGGAGCCUGCAGACGUUGCCACGGUGACGCAGCAGCUGCAGCGGUCGCAGGUGGAGGAUCCGCUGCCGCCGGUGUUCCCGGUGACGCCCAAGGGCAGCGGCGCCGGCUACGGCGUCGGCUUCGACCUGGAGGAGUUCCUGAGCCAAUCGCUCGACAUGGUGGGCGAGGCCAAGGACAGCCCGUUGGAGGCGGCGCCGCUGUCGGCGUCGCUGCUCCGCGAUUGGCUGGAGGUUCAUCGCCUGAGCCCGGCGGCGCUCGAGAGCCUCCAGCGCGACCUCAUGAUGGACGAGCUGCCCGAGCCCUGACCCCGCCCCUCAUUACCAUACCCGGGACACGCCCCCUCCCCAAAAUAAACUUUGUACCGAAAAUCCGCCGUUUGUCUGCGAUUUUGGGGGGAAUUUGCACCUUUUUGGGGGAAUUUUCACCCUUUUAUGGGGGAAUUUUCACCUUUUGGUUUUUCACCUCUUUGGGCAGAGUUUUCACAUUUUUUGGUGGAAUUUUCACCGUUUCGGGUGGAAUUUUUGCCGUUUUGGGAGGAAUCUUCGCCUUUUAUUUGGGGAAGAUUUUUUGCCCUUUUGAGAGGAAUUUUCUCCUUUUACCGGCGGAGUUUUCGCCUUUUUUGGACGGAAUUUUCACCUUUUAUGGGCAGAGUUUUUGCUUUUUUCGGGCAGAAUUUUUACCUUUUAGGUUUUCACCUUUUCGGGCAGUAUUUUUGCCUUUUUUGGGCGGAAUCUUUGCCUUUUUUUUGGGUGGAAUUUUUCACCUUUUAGGUUUUCACCUUUUUGGGCGGAAUUUUUCCCAUUCCGGACCCUUCCCCUCGUUGAGGAUGAGGAGGGCGAGGAGGAGGAGGGGGCGGGGAGGAAGAAGAGGCGGAGCCGGCUGCAUUUUUGGCAAUGGUUUUCGUAGCAAAGACAUCACAGACCACGAGCGCGGGGGCGGGGCUCGGGAGGGGGCGGGGCUUGGGAAGGGGGAGGGGCUUUGGGGAGGCCCCUCCCCCUGAACUGUUGGGGAUGGUCCCUGGGGGGUGGGGGAGGGGCCAUUCAGGGGGCGGGGCCCCGGCGGGGCGGGAAAUCUAAGUGGGGGACGGGGAGGUCAUCAAUGACGUCAUCAUGUCAUUGAUGAUGUCACUGGGUCAUUGAUAUGGUCGUCGAUGAGGUCAUUGAUGACGUCAAAGGAUCAUUGAUGGGGUAUUGAUGACGCCAUUGGGUCAUCGAUGGGGUGGUUGGGUCAUUGAUGACAUCAUUGGGUCAUCAGUGACGUCAUCGGGUCAUGGGUGAGGCCAUUGGGUCGUUGAUUGGGGUUUCAAUGAGGUCGUUGUGUCAUCGAUGACGUCAUUGGGUAAUCAAUGACACAAUUGGGUCAGCAAUGGGGUGGGUGGGCCAUCAAUGAGGUCAUGGAUGGGGCAUCGAUGACAUCAUUGGGUCAUUGAUGAGGUCACUGAUUAUGUCAUUGGGUCAUUGAUUGGGUCGUUAAUGAGAUAAUUGGGUGAUCAAUGACGCCAUUGGUUACUGGUUUGAGCGGUCAAUGAAGGGUUAACCAGUUGGGUGGGGGAUGGGUUAACCAGUUCAAUGCCGGUUUAACCGGCCAACAAAGGGUUAACCAGUUCAAUGCCGGCCGGUGAUGUCGCGUUGGGACGAUGGCACCGCCAACACCCCGAUGGGUUGGUCAACCCAAGGAACCCAACUUGACCCAACCCAACCCAAUGAACUCAACCCAACCCAACUCAACUCAACCCAACCCAACUCAACCCAACUUAAUGAAGUCAACUCAUCCAAACCAACCCAAUUCAACCCAACCAAACCCAAUGAACUCAACUCAACCCAACCCAACUCAAGAAACUCAACAUAAAUGAAUUUAACCCAACUCAACCCAAUUCAACUGAACUGACCCAACCCAACCCAACCCAACUCAACUCAACCCAACUCAAUGAAAAUCAACCCAUCCAACCCAACCCCGAUUUGUGGGCGUGGCCAGCAGGGGAUGACGCGAUGGAUGACGACCAAUGAGGAACAGGAAAGGGUGGAGCUUAGAUUUGCCGACCCGGGGGGGCGGAGCCUCGGUUGAAAGGGGGCGUGGCCGGCGGUGACGGGACCACCACGUGCUGGUUCGUCCGUUGGCAAUUCGUUAACUCGGUAAUUUAUUCGCGAUCGAUGCGGUUGAUUGGUUGAUUGAUUAAUUAACGGGGUUAUCGGGGGAGGGGCGCGAGGGGGCGGGGCCUGGGCGAGGGGGCGGGGCCUGGGGUGGGGGCGGGGCCUCAGAGGCCCAAGGUGCCCCCGAUGGACGAGGCCAGGACCACGCCCAGCACCACGCAGCAGAUGAUGAUCAUGAUCUUCUUCUGCUCCGGCGCCGCCGUUUGGGGCCAAAUCGGGGCGGUUUGGGAAAUUUGGGGGUUUGGGGAAUUUUGGGGGAUUUGGGGAAUUUUAGAGAUUUUUUUGGGAUUUUUGGGGGAUUUUGGGUGGGAUUUACGGGAUUUGGGGUAUUUGGUAAAUUUGGGUGGUUUUUUGGUGGAUUUCAGUGGAUUUUGGUGGAUUUGGAUGGGUUUUGGUGGAUUUGGGGUAAAUGAGGUGAAUUUUGGAGGAUUUGGUUGCAUUUUGAUGGGUUUUAAUGAAUUCGAUGGAUUUUGAUGGAUUUGGGUGAAUUUUGCGUGGGUUGUGAUGAAUUCCGACGAAUUUCAGUGGAUUAUGGAUGAAUUUCGGCGAGUAUUAAUGAAUUACGAUAAAUUUAAAUUAAUUUCAAUGCGUUUCAAUGAAUUUCCAUGAAAUUCAAUAGAUUUUGGAUGGAAUUCCGUGAAUUUCGAUGAAUUUUGAUGGUUUUUCAUUCAUUUCAAUGAAUUUCAAUAAAUGUCGAUGAAAUU
ensembl:lncRNA